rnacentral:rRNA from 1 species
GAUGAACGCUGGCGGCGUGCUUAACACAUGCAAGUCGAACGGGAAACCUUUUAAUGAAGCUUCGGCAGAUUUAGCUGGUUUCUAGUGGCGGACGGGUGAGUAACGCGUGGGUAACCUGCCUUAUACAGGGGGAUAACAGUCAGAAAUGACUGCUAAUACCGCAUAAGCGCACAGGACCGCAUGGUCCGGUGUGAAAAACUCCGGUGGUAUAAGAUGGACCCGCGUUGGAUUAGCUUGUUGGUGGGGUAACGGCUCACCAAGGCGACGAUCCAUAGCCGGCCUGAGAGGGUGAACGGCCACAUUGGGACUGAGACACGGCCCAGACUCCUACGGGAGGCAGCAGUGGGGAAUAUUGCAUAAUGGGGGAAACCCUGAUGCAGCGACGCCGCGUGAAGGAAGAAGUAUCUCGGUAUGUAAACUUCUAUCAGCAGGGAAGAUAGUGACGGUACCUGACUAAGAAGCCCCGGCUAACUACGUG